GAUAGUUGUAUGAAAGGUAAAUCAGAAGGCUUAAAACAAGGUAUGCAAGCAUUUGAGCUAAGUAUUAUGGUGUGGGUAUGCUUAUGGAGCAUCCUUGAGUGCUAAGUUUAAAUGGGGCUAUUGAUAUAGAAAUUGAUGUUCUUACCAGCUCUGUUAUGGACUAUAAGAUGUUGCUAUCAGAUGUUCAGGUGCAAUAGUAGUUCUCAUGGUUUAGC
rnacentral:lncRNA from 1 species